rnacentral:rRNA from 1 species
AUUACUUUAAUAUGAUAAUUACAAGUAAGCAUUAAGUAUAUUUUAAAUAUGGAACCUACGGUGGAAUUUUCCAGUUUAAAAUUUUAAAUAUAUAUGAAAAUAUAAUUUAGAUAGCUUAUUUAUAGGGGUUAAUUAGGUGCCAGCAACCGCGGUCACACCUAACAUACAAGCUUACUAUUUAUAGUAAUAAAUCACUCACUUAAAAAUGUCAAGAUAAAUAGUGAAAUAUUAUCUUAUAGUUUUCACUACUUAAUUUAAUUUUAACUAAUUCCGUAAGUAAAACUAGGAUUAGAGACCCUACUAUUACGGACAUAAAACUAAUUACUAAGGAGUAAUAACAUAACUUCAAACUUAAAUGUUAUGGCGGCUAAGCAAAAUAAUUAGGGGAACUUACCAUAUAAUAGAUAGCCACCAAGCUUAAGCCACUUAUUUUCAUAAUUUGUAUACCGUUGUCUUUAUAAACCCCCCAAAGAGGUUGAGACCUAUAAAGCUUAUUUUAAGACAAAUCAAGGUGCAGUGCAUAAAUAAGAAUUAAGGUGAGUUACAGUAAAAAAUAUCUUCGGAAAUAAGCUAUGAAAUAACUUAAUAAGAUGGACUUAAAAGUAUUUUUUAAAUGGAGACAUGUUAAGGGAAUAUAUAUUGCUUAGUGUA